UCACUUACAAGGGACCCACCCCAAGUUCGCCGCCCAAUUCAUAAACUACUCUCAAUACGCAGUUUUUGGUCUAGGGUUUCCUUUAUAACCUCCUAUCGCAUCGUCCCCACCCCCUCAGCAUUUUACCCUGCUCCCCGCCGCAGCAAAUUGUUUGGACUGCAAAAGAAGAAAAAAGGAAGGGGAAGAAGAAGUAAGCAAAUCCUCGUCAAUCUGCAACAAUGAGAGCUAAGUGGAAGAAGAAGCGGAUGAGGAGGUUGAAGAGAAAGCGCCGAAAGAUGAGGCAGAGAUCGAAGUAACCCCGCAACAAAUAAACGUGCAAUUUUAAUCUUUCUUUAAUUGAUAUCGUGUUGUGUCAUGAUGAUGUGUUGAGACUUAAACUUUUAACUGCAAGUUUUAGUUUUUAUGGUACUUGAUGUAAUUCUGCAACUGGGAUUAUUAUGUGAAAGUCCGACUUAGGAAGUGGUCUUGUGAUAUUGGGCAGAUCAAUUUUCGUGUUGA